UACGUAGGUGGCGAGCGUUAUCCGGAAUGAUUGGGCGUAAAGGGUGCGUAGGCGGCCUGCUAAGUCUGGAGUGAAAGGUACCGGCUCAACCGGUACAGGCUCUGGAAACUGGCGGGCUAGAGAGCAGGAGAGGGCGGUGGAAUUCCUAGUGUAGCGGUGAAAUGCGUAGAUAUUAGGAGGAACACCAGUGGCGAAGGCGGCUUACUGGACGACUACUGACGCUGAGGCUCGAAAGCGUGGGGAGCAAACAGG
rnacentral:rRNA from 1 species